rnacentral:rRNA from 1 species
UGGGGAAUAUUGGACAAUGGGCGCAAGCCUGAUCCAGCCAUGCCGCGUGAGUGAUGAAGGCCCUAGGGUGGUAAAGCGCUUUCACCGGUGAAGAUAAUGACGGUAACCGGAGAAGAAGCCCCGGCUAACUUCGUGCCAGCAGCCGCGGUAAUACGAAGGGGGCUAGCGUUGUUCGGAUUUACUGGGCGUAAAGCGCACGUAGGCGGACUUUUAAGUCAGGGGUGAAAUCCCGGGGCUCAACCCCGGAACUGCCUUUGAUACUGGAAGUCUUGAGUAUGGUAGAGGUGAGUGGAAUUCCGAGUGUAGAGGUGAAAUUCGUAGAUAUUCGGAGGAACACCAGUGGCGAAGGCGGCUCACUGGACCAUUACUGACGCUGAGGUGCGAAAGCGUGGGGAGCAAACAGG